AAGGCAUUAGAACUGCCUUUGUAUUCCAAACUAGUAAAUCCACAGCAGCACUGCAUUCUGUAGAGACUUGUAGAGAUUAGUGCCUCUAUAAAAGAUUUAAAAGAUGCAGGGCUGGUGAUUUUCACCACACCUCCAUUCAACUCAACUAUCUGGCCUGUGCAGAAGACAGAUGGAUCUUGAAGAAUGACAAAGGAUUAUUGUAAACUUAAUCAGGUGGAAAUUGAUUGCCUCUUCAUUUCACAACACACCACAUGGAUCCUCUACACUGGUGGACCAGGAAAUCGCAACUACUUUAGACACCUUGGUAAGACCCAUAGAGGCAAGAGGUUGUGAAAUAAAUCCCAGAAAAAUUUAGAAGUUUGCUCCUUCAGGAACUUUCUUGGGGUUUCAUGGUCUGGGGAAAGUUGAGAUAUCUCUUUCAAGGUGAAGUUCAAUGCUACAUCUGGUCUCUCCUACCAUAAAGAAAGAGUCCCAAUUUCUGGUGUGCCUCAUUGGAUUUUGGAGGCAACAUAUCUUAUUUGGGUGUGUUGUUAUAGUCUAAACCUAUUUGCUGAAUGAGUAAUCUGAAAGGCUUCCAGUUUUGAAUAAGGCCUGGCGAAAGACAAGCCCUUGUGAGAGGGUGGCAAGCUUCCCUGCCACUUUGGUCAUAUGACACAUCUGAUUCAGUGGUGCUUAAAGUGCCUAUUGAGCUUUUGGCAGGCCUCUUAGGUAAAUUCCAGAACAGACUUUUAGAAUCUGGGAGCAAAGCCAUGCCAUACUCUGCAGAUAACUUUUUUUUUCUUUUUUCUUUUUUUUUCUUUUUCUUUUUCUUUUUUUUUUUUUUUUUUUUUGAGAAACAGCUCUUGGCUCUUUGCUGGAUCCUAGUAUUUGACCAUGGACCAUUAAGUAUCAUGUGACCAGAAAUGCCCCCUAUGAAAUGAGUAUUGCUUAACCCACCACCAUGUUCUGUUGGUUAUAAUCAAGUCACAGAGCCAGUCCAGAUCAAGGGGAAGGAAUUAUGCAAAAUUCCGAAUACUGAGAGACAUAGUUCAUUGGAAGACCAUCUUUGGAAACCAGCAGCUAUCACAGUUUCCUUGGAUAUUUUCUGAAUAGAGAGAUUCUUACAUUAAUAACUGUUCUCUUCACCAAUAAAUAUUUAUGGAGAACAUACAGUAUGUGCAGAACCUGAACAUAAGUGGAAGAAACAGGGAAAGCAUUGCACCUUCCUCAAAGUUUGUGCAUUCUACCAUGAAAUAUUCACACUAACAUUGAAGCUAAGAGUAGGCUGGAAAUCCCAGAAGUGAAAAUUAAUAUACUGGUACUGAUGGUCAAUGGGUGUAUUAUAGCUCUCUGUGGUGAAAUAAAUAGAUUGAUAAUGGGCUUCUGUAUAUAGUUGUAUCAACAAUAAAACGAUGGAAUGCUUUCUAGCUCAAGAUUUUUACAACCCAAUGAUCCUUAAUCUGGUAACUCAUUCCUCAUAAGACUCAUUCCUCAUAAGACCUGCUUACCUCAAAGAAUUGUUUAUGAGGAUACGUUAAAAUAAGUAUCAGAAAGGACCUUGUAAACUAUAAACAAUGGUACAAAUGUAAGAGACAGUUAUUGCAUUUUCAAAAAGAACUCAUAAUAGGCGUGAUGUAAAUAUUUGUUGAAUAAAUGAAUGAGAAAAUAAAAUAAAUUCUUGAGACA
rnacentral:lncRNA from 10 species